GUGCAGCAGGCGAGAAUUUUUCUCAAUGGGGGCAACCCUGAAGGAGCGACGCCGCGUGGAGGAUGAAGGCUUUCGGGUUGUAAACUCCUGUCAUUUGAGAACAAGUGUGGACAAGUAACUACUGCCUACUUGAUAGUAUUAGAAGAGGAAGAGACGGCUAACUCUGUGCCAGCAGCCGCGGUAAUACAGAGGUCUCAAGCGUUGUUCGGAUUCAUUGGGCGUAAAGGGUGCGUAGGUGGCGCGCUAAGUCAGGUGUGAAAUCUCGGGGCUUAACUCCGAAACUGCAUUUGAUACUGGCGUGCUUGAGGACUGGAGAGGAGACUGGAAUUCAUGGUGUAGCAGUGAAAUGCGUAGAGAUCAUGAGGAAGACCAGUGGCGAAGGCGGGUCUCUGGACAGUUCCUGACACUGAGGCACGAAGGCCAGGGGAGCAAACGGGAUUAGAUACCCCUGUAGU
rnacentral:rRNA from 1 species